GCUAGGAAGAGGAAGAAAGAGAGGGCUUAUGAGCGGUGGGAAUGAGAACAUAGAGGAAAGCCUAACUUAUUGGUUCUUCAUCACUUGUGUUGUGGUGGAGAUUUGGUUUGGUAUUUCCCGAUGCCUCUCAUUCCUAUCGUUCUUAUGCGCUCCUUCCUCUUCCUUUUUGCU
rfam:Hordeum vulgare subsp. vulgare, WGS project CAJW01000000 data, contig: morex_contig_1598183